rnacentral:tRNA from 1 species
GGCUUCGUAGCUCAGCUGGCAGAGCGCUUGCCGCGUAGAGGCAUGGUGUUUCUGUCGCUGGUUCGAAUCCAGCCGAAGCCC